rnacentral:rRNA from 1 species
AUCCUGGCUCAGAUUGAACGCUGGCGGCAUGCUUUACACAUGCAAGUCGAACGGCAGCACGGGGGCAACCCUGGUGGCGAGUGGCGAACGGGUGAGUAAUGUAUCGGAACAUGUCCGGAAGUGGGGGAUAACGUAGCGAAAGUUACGCUAAUACCGCAUAUGCCCUGAGGGGGAAAGGUGGGGAUCGCAAGACCUAUCGCUUUCGGAGUGGCCGAUAUCAGAUUAGCUAGUUGGUGAGGUAAAGGCUCACCAAGGCGACGAUCUGUAGCUGGUCUGAGAGGACGACCAGCCACACUGGGACUGAGACACGGCCCAGACUCCUACGGGAGGCAGCAGUGGGGAAUUUUGGACAAUGGGGGCAACCCUGAUCCAGCCAUGCCGCGUGGGUGAAGAAGGCCUUCGGGUUGUAAAGCUCUUUCGGACAGAAAGAAAUCGCACUUACUAAUACUGGGUGUGGAUGACGGUACUGUAAAAGAAGCACGGCUAACUACGU